rnacentral:piRNA from 1 species
UGGGCAGAAGAGGACCACUGAACUUAACC